GCCCAGUGAACGCCAGUAUUGGGGGCGGUCCCUCUUAUUAUUCUUUUCUAUUGCUAUUCCCUCUUAGUUCCCUGGAUAACCAGAGUCCCUGUGCAGUUGACUCAAGAAGUCAAGACUUUGGCAAGGCUUGUCUUUUCUAGCUUAGGUGUCGCUUGUUACUAAUAUGGAGCUGAUAAUUUUUUAUGAAUACAGAUGGUCAUGGAAAAGAAGUAAAGGCAAUAAUUUUUAUUUCAGAGCUAUUAUGUGUCUGGCAUUUGACAUACCUUAUCUCACAAUGCUCCGUGCAGAAGGACAUUAUGAUUUCCAUUUUCUUUUCAGGUGAGGAAGGAAAGGUGGAGUUGCCUGUUCUGGGGCAUACAACCAGAAGUGGCAGACUGGAAUUUGAAACCACAUGGGUCUAGCUUUAAAGUUCACUUUUGUUCCACUGUUCUGUACCAUACUCUAUUGGAUAAUGUCACUAAUUAUAAUUGAAAAGUGGAUAUGCGAAGGGGUUCAUGAGGCAAACUGGUGAAAAUUCAUUCUAGGCAGAGGCAACAACAUGGAAACAGAGGCACCCAACAGCAUGAAACAUUUGGAUAAUUAUUGACAUUUUGAUAGUAUUUGAGGUCAACUGAAGACUUUCAAGAGAAGACGAUAUGGUGGUGAUUCAAUCAACAAGUUUCUCUCACUGAAGUUCAGGAAGACUUUUCUGUCCCUUUCAUCUUGGAAUGAAGGACCUUAGAACCGGAAGUGAAAAGACCAAGCCGCCCAGAGAGGAAGCAUCUGUCCAAAAUCUCACAGUUAAUUGGGGUCAGGGCUUGGCCUGGCAUCCAGGUGCGCUGACGCUCGUGCUGGAGAGUCUUCUGCUUCCACAUUCUAAGGGGGAGUUUUGGAUGGUGAGAGCUGUUCAAAUGUGGAGCGGGCUCUUGGAUUUUAGCCUUGGUGAAUAGUGAAACGUCCCUCACCGGCUGUAUGGAACAGAGGUUGGAUAACCUCGCGACCUCUUGGAGGGGAUUUGAAGUUUUCUGGAGUAACGCAGUCACUCCCUCAGUCAUCUACACUGGCCUGCUGAUCUUCAAAAUCUCCCAGCCAUUCCUGGAGCAGCCUCCUCUGCCCAGAAGAAUGUGCUUGCAAUGUUUCCUUCCCUGGGGCAUCUCUGGAUUUUCAGCUUGUGGGGAUCCUGCGCCGCACUCAAGCAUGUGCUGCCUGAAAGUGCGAGGCAGUUAACACUCCACAGUGAAUUCUUAAACCAUAGAGGAUUUAUGAGCUGGUAGAUAAAUGUUAGUAGGCAAUUCUGAGAUGCAUUCUAGAGGGUUCCUCUGAAGGUCCGAGGGGAAUUGUGCCCCAGUCGCCCACUGUGGUGACCGACUUGAUAUUAUGCAUCAUGCCCUUACAUGGGUGUCCCCUCUCCCCAUGUUUCACUAUCCACAGUCUCCCACUUCUGUUCCCAGGCUCAUCUUCCAAAACAAACUACCUGCAUGCAAGACGUUGACUCAGGUUCUGCAUUCCAGGGGCAUCUCAGUCUAAGACAUUUACUGUGGCUGUCUACCUCUUCCUCUAUCUCAAUCAAUUAAAUGGCCUAAUUGAUAUUUACCUGCCAUGAGAAGCAUGGAGUUCCCUAGACUCCUACUCAUUUUUGUCCCCACAGCACACACACUAGUGACUGGCACAUGGUGGGUGUUCUGAAAAUUACGAAUAAAUG
rnacentral:lncRNA from 1 species